rnacentral:rRNA from 1 species
GACGAACCGUGUGAACGGGAUUCGGAAUCACAGGGCUUAAAGCGCGUGUAGGCGGAUCGCCGCGUCGGCUGCUGAAAUCCCCCGGCUCAACCGGGGAACGGGCACCGAUACGGGCGGUCUCGAGGGGGGUAGGGGGGUCUGGAACUUCCGGUGGAGCGGUGAAAUGCGUUGAGAUCGGAAGGAACGCCCGUGGCGAAAGCGAGGCCCUGGACCCUUACUGACGCUGAGACGCGAAAGCCAGGGGAGCGAACGGG